AGAGAGAGACAUGCGCGCAUAUCAAUAAGCGGAGGAAAAGAAACUAACAAGGAUUCCCUUAGUAACGGCGAGUGAAGCGGGAAGAGCUCAAAUUUGAAAUCUUCAAGGUUUUACCUUGACGAAUUGUAGUUUAAAGAAGUGUUUUCUGCUGAAGUUUUGGUAAAAGUUCUUUGGAAUAGGACAUCAUAGAGGGUGAGAAUCCCGUAUUUGACCAUUAUUUUCAGCUUUGUGAUACACUUUCAAAGAGUCGGAUUGUUUGGGAAUGCAGUCCAAAAUGGGUGGUAAAUUUCAUCUAAAGCUAAAUAUUGGCGAGAGACCGAUAGCGAACAAGUACCGUGAGGGAAAGAUGAAAAGAACUUUGAAAAGAGAGUUAAACAAGUACGUGAAAUUGUCAAAAGGGAAGCGUUUGACACCAGUGUUGUUUUCUCGAAAAUCAAUUAAAAAUGGCUCGAUUUUGUAUUGUUGAGACCUUAAAAGCUCACUGUACAUUUUUCGUGUCUUUUUUAAUGCACUUUUCGUUUAACAAGUCAACAUCAGUUUCUUUUGUUGUAAAAGGGUCAUUGGAAGGUGGCUUUCUUUUCGGAGAAAGUGUUUAUAGCCUUUGGCCUCUGCAAUCGGAGAGACUGAGGUCUGCAGCGUAGACUCUUCGGGGUUAGAUACAUUUGUGCUAAGUUAUAGCUUUUUAUAGACAACUUGUUGACUAUAAUUAGUCUUGUAGCUUACUCGCUUAUGCUAUUUUACCUACGCUUAGGAUGUUGAAGAUGUAGCACAUCAU
rnacentral:rRNA from 1 species